GAACACAGGAACCAUGAGAACAUGACUCGAGCCUAAAUCAAGAGUUGGACACUUAAUGGACUGAGCCCCCUAGGCACCCCUGGAAUUUGUGAUUUCAAAAUCGGGGCUUGUGGGGCAUGUGGGUGGCUCAUUUGGUUAAGUGUCCAACCCUUGAUCUUGGCUCAGGUCUUGAUCACACGGUUGUGAGUUCAAACUCCUCUUUGGGCUCCAUGUGUGAAGCCUAUUUAA